GGGAAUGGAAGGGCACCUGGUGGGCCCCGCGGACUUCAAAUCCGUAGCCCCGGCGCUUGGGCGUCGGGGGGUGGGUUCGAUUCCCACACAUUCCCGCAA
rnacentral:tRNA from 1 species